rnacentral:rRNA from 1 species
AGCGGCGGACGGGUGAGUAACGCGUGGGUAACCUGCCUCAUACAGGGGGAUAACAGUUAGAAAUGACUGCUAAUACCGCAUAAGACCACAGCACCGCAUGGUGCGGGGGUAAAAACUCCGGUGGUAUGAGAUGGACCCGCGUCUGAUUAGCUAGUUGGUAAGGUAACGGCCUACCAAGGCGACGAUCAGUAGCCGACCUGAGAGGGUGACCGGCCACAUUGGGACUGAGACACGGCCCAA